rnacentral:rRNA from 2 species
CAUUCACGGAGAGUUUGAUCCUGGCUCAGGACGAACGCUGGCGGCGUGCUUAACACAUGCAAGUCGAACGAUGAAGCCCUUCGGGGUGGAUUAGUGGCGAACGGGUGAGUAACACGUG